GAUGAACGCUGGCGGCGUGCCUAAUACAUGCAAGUCGAGCGAACAGACGAGGAGCUUGCUCCUCUGACGUUAGCGGCGGACGGGUGAGUAACACGUGGAUAACCUACCUAUAAGACUGGGAUAACUUCGGGAAACCGGAGCUAAUACCGGAUAAUAUAUUGAACCGCAUGGUUCAAUAGUGAAAGACGGUUUUGCUGUCACUUAUAGAUGGAUCCGCGCCGCAUUAGCUAGUUGGUAAGGUAACGGCUUACCAAGGCAACGAUGCGUAGCCGACCUGAGAGGGUAAUGGCCCAAACGGGACCGGGAACACGGCCCAGCCCCCAAGGGAGGGCAGCAGUGGGGAAUCUUCGGCAAUGGGGGAAGCCUGGACGGAGCAACGCGGGGGGAUUGAUGAAGGCCUCCGGAUGGUAAACCUCGUUAAUUGGGGAAGAACAAAUGGGUAGGUAACUAUCACCGUUUUAACGGUACCUAACCAGAAAGCCCCGCCAAACUACGG
rnacentral:rRNA from 1 species